rnacentral:rRNA from 1 species
CUACGGGUUGCUCCAGUGGGGAAUAUUGCACAAUGGAGGAAACUCUGAUGCAGCAACGCCGCGUGGAGGAUGACACUUUUCGGAGCGUAAACUCCUUUUAUAUAGGAAGAUAAUGACGGUACUAUAUGAAUAAGCACCGGCUAACUCCGUGCCAGCAGCCGCGGUAAUACGGAGGGUGCAAGCGUUACUCGGAAUCACUGGGCGUAAAGAGCGUGUAGGCGGGUUAAUAAGUCAGAAGUGAAAUCCUAUGGCUCAACCAUAGAACUGCUUUUGAAACUGUUAACCUAGAAUAUGGGAGAGGUAGAUGGAAUUUCUGGUGUAGGGGUAAGAUCCGUAGAGAUCAGAAGGAAUACCGAUUGCGAAGGCGAUCUACUGGAACAUUAUUGACGCUGAGGCGCGAAAGCGUGGGGAGCAAACAGGAUUAGAUACCCUCGUAGUC